rnacentral:lncRNA from 1 species
GCUGCACUGGCUUGCAGGAAGCCCAGGGGCCAGUCCCAUUUUCACUCUGUGCAGUCAGGUUUGCCCGCCCCUAGCAGGUCACAGAGGAGGUUCCACAAUCAUCAUGCUGUUGUUUGACCCUGAAUGAUUUCCUGUUUCUUCCAUUAGGCUCCAAAUCAGAGAUCUGCAGCUGGACACUUCAUGCACCCUCUAUCAGGAAACCUGGCUGAAUUGGCUGGGGGAAAAGAAGAGACAGAUGGCCAUCUGUGACUAGAAUAUCCUUACUUGCAGCUUGUGUGAUCCACAGAAACUUGGAGGCUUCCAGGAAAAGUGAGCUUUAUCAUCAAGUAGAAGUUACAAGAACUCACCAAUAUAUUUAUGAACAAAAAAAAAUCAAACAAAAUCACUGGAAAGCCUGGGUAACUUGAAAAUGGCAGACUUGAAAAGUUUCUCAUGAAAAAAAAAAAAAAUCAAUUAUUUGGGAUACUCCAACCCCUCCCAACUCCCAGUUCCUGUAGAAGCCAAGGUGUCACUCUCUCAGCUUAUGCUGGGGCAGUGAGAGUGCCUGUACUCCUGGAGAUGUGACCCAGCUUCAUCCCAAGCCUGCACGUGUGUCCUCCCUCUUACCCCAGAAGUGAAUUAUGCUGUGGUCUCUCAGAUGAGCCCAUGGGGACUCCAGCAAGGAUGAGGACUGCAGGGUGUGCUGUAUGGACCUAAGUCCUUGCUGGCCAAAAUGUUUUCUGAUUACAGAAUUGAAUUCUAUAUGAAUCACUCUGUCUGUUCUGAAGUAUUUUCCCGUAGAGGCAGUGGUUAGUAGUUCAGCUUGAGUUAAAUGUUACAUUUUCUGUUUAACUAAUUACAUAUUACUAAAAAAAAUCCACUGUAAACAAAGUUGAGAAACAGUGCCUUAAAGUUUGUUACUGUAUUUAUAGAGGUCAGUCAAGCAUACACUGGUAAAAUAAUAACUGUUUGCUCUGUACAUAAUCUCCUUGUUCUGGAUUACAUCAGCGCUUGCCCGAAUACAAUUAAAGUACCUGACACAC